AACGGCCUCUCUCCGCUGGCUGCCGGCGGGUGGGGGAGGGCAGGAAAGGUGGAUUUGGAAAGCGGGGCCGAAUUUUUUUAAUUGGACUAAACCCAACGCCCUGAGUUCAAGGGGAGAGAAAACAACAACUGAAGGGGGCACUAGUGGAUUUGGACUUUUGAAAAACUUUCCGAGUCCCCCCGGCCGAGGUGUUUCCAAGGGCAGGAAGUCGCCCCGGAUGGCACGGCGGGGGCGGGGGGGCUAAGGGGACCCCUAAUUUCGGGACCUGAGGUAUUUCAGACUCCCCAAAGGAGAGCGCCGAGCGCUUUGCCAGGCAGGGGGUGCCCUGGAGAGGUUUGCCAGCAGGGGCCUGAGCUUUGGCUCCACGUAAUUUUUUUUUUUUCUCUUGGAGAUACCAGGGCCUAUAAUCAAAGUGCUUUAGGACUGCUGUACUCAACGUAAACGGCCUAUAUGUUGCUGUAUGUUGAUGAAUGGAACAUACAGCGUAAAAUUAAUGGAGGAGGAAAGUCUUGGCCCUCACCCUAGGCGAGCAGUAGCCCAGAGUGGCACUGCAGGCCGCUUUCCCCUCUGCCUGUGGUGUGCGCAGUGUUUGUAAACACUUGUUUCCUGACCUCUUUUCCACACAGGGGAGCCCAGGGGAAGACCUACACACCGACCAGCCAAAGCCCAGUGCUGCUUGGGGGGCCCAUGGCGGUGAACGGUGUCUUCUCCUGAACCUUUGCUCGUCAGGUAAAGCAGGUGGUGACCCAGGUGGGCAUUUGUUCUUCCCUGGCAAGCAAACAGCCGCAGGUUAGUGCUGCUUCCAGUUUAAGAGACUCUGGAGGAAUAUUUGCCCCUUGCAACCAAUAUAGUGAAAUCUGAGGCCAGAUUGGGCCUUUAGUGUGGGGUUUUUUUCUUUUUCUCCUUUUUUUUUUUUUAAUUUUUAAAGCAGAACUCCUCAUUAAAGUCAGUAUGGAGCUGUGUUUUAAAAUCAAUGGCAUGUUAUGGCCCCAAGUGAGCACUUGAAGAAGGAAAACUAUAAUUCCUUUUUACUCCAUGUACUAACUUACUUCAGGAAAUAAAAUAUAUAUUUUUUUUUUCAGAGAAGAUUUUUUUUUUCCUUUUCAGUGCUGUUUCAGCUUGAUUAUAGCCAUAGAGACGGAGAUAUAGUAAGAUGUUUGGUAACAUUUGCCCUGGGUUCACACUUGGGGGAGGGAGGAAAAAAAAUCCCUCAGUUUCCAAUAAAUACUCUGUAUUUAAAGUCGCCCUCUCUGUGUGGAUGUAGUGUAUGAAUUUCGGUGUAAGAAAUGCAUAGUGUCUAUUCACUGUAGCAUUAAGAGCCCCUCCACCCCCACCGCCCCUAAAAUUAGACCUGCAGCAGAUCCUGGUCUGCAGCUCCAGUCUGUGACACUCCAAGUUUCUGCUAUUUCAGCAACAGUAUGCGUAAGACUCCCAAAGCCAGGAUAAUGUGUACGAGAAAGAUUUAGAAGGAGCCAUUGAGGGGCUAAAUCGCUCUUUCAGACGUAACACAGCUAAACCUUCCUUCACAAGAGGGCGGUGGUUUUUAAUCAUGCCUUAAAAAUUCCUUAAAAGCAGGGGGUCUCCCCUCGGCGAGGGGCGGUCGGCAGAGCCAGGAUAUAUUCUUCACCUUGUGUGAACUAUCGGAGCAGUGAAACAGACAGCACAUCUACUUUGUACGAGUCAGACUUGACAUCUAAUUUACCCUCUCAUAUUCAAUAACUCUCUCUGAUAAGCGAGUUGAGGAAAACAACCACCAACAACAAGCAAACAAAGCGUCAGUGACCUCAUAAUUUUUGUUUCUUGGGUGAACAAAUAUUCUUAUUUUGUUGAAGAAUCUUAAGUAUUAAGAAAGAAAUAGAAGGAAGUAUAUGGUUUGCUUGUACUAAAAAAGCUCUAAAGAAGACAGUAGGAUUAAAAGUUUGAGGUUUUUUAUUUUUAAAUACAUUUUUUUACAGUGGAAAUUGUCAAUGUAUCUCUUUAAAAAUGAGUUUAGUUGUAACACGGAAUGAGCUAAGGCAUUGUACCUAACAUCUGUAAGACCUGUACUAAAGAGUGCUUUUGGUGGCUCAGAACAUGACUGCUGAAAUGCUGACUGCUCAAAAUGCCAAAAUUUAUGGAGGUUUAGAUUUUUAAAAUAUCCACAAAGCACAAAUCCCAGUUUUUGUCUGAAAAAUGUGCUUCAAAUAAUGAAAACGCUCAAAGAAUUUCGGAACUCUCGUUUGCGGAAGGGAUAAAUGAAAGGUCAUUCUUCUCUCCUGUGACAUUGUCAUCUUUUUCUCUAAUAAAGUCCAGCUCCAUUGAGCCUGGUGAAGGUUUGGACAAAAGUAUUUGACUUACCUACGCUGAUGCAAAAAUGUCUCCUCUAGCAACAGUGACAACUUUUUCAGCAAGUGUGACUCAGAUUAUUUGAUCCAACACCAGCUACCAGGUAGACCCAGAAGCUGAAGGGGAGCCCAUGUUGAUUGUCACUGUUUCAGUAAAGUCAGUUGUUGAAGCUGUAUGUCUGGUGUAGAACAGAGGAGGCAGAGGCACUCAUACAAAGUCUGAAACUCAGGUAACUCCUGCUGAUCGAGUAUGUGAACAAACUCCUAAAAGAAAAACACUUUUCAGCUGGAGUGAAGAAGUGAAAAUGGGAAAAAGAAAGAGAAAAUGGAAAUAAUUUUGCAAUAUUAAUCUGUAGUGUAAUGGAUUUUUCCUUUAUAGAGUGACUAGUGUUCUACUAAAAACUUUAUGAUAUCUCCUGCUUAUUGGAUCACUUGCGGAUUAUGACUGACAAUUCUCUUUCCUUCGUUGAUCAAUAUUUCAAUAAGUGUGUACAUAAUAAAGUUGCAUUAGUUUUUUUGUGAAUAGUAUUCUUGGAAUAGAACACUUUAAAAUGGCUUUGUAAGCACUCAGAAGGAAAACUUCAGAAACCAAAUAAAAUUGUGAAGUGUAGAUACAACAAGUCAGCCUAUCUCUGUAUGGGAGAUCUCUCAGACAUGGAAGGAAAAUCUGAAAUUGCUGGGUCAAAUGUUCUAUUAGCAUAGCUGUCCUAUUCUUUUCUCAUUAAAAACAAAUGUAAAAUUUCACAUGAAGCUGUUUCUCAGCUAAUUUAGAGCAGGCUCUUUCAUGUGCUUGUUCCUAAGGGAUGCAAAACAUUCUUAGCUACUAUUGAAAUGAAAGAUGAAAUUGUGUAGUACCUUGCAGGACUGGGCCACCAGUAAUCAAGGCUGACUGCAUGUUCUUGGGACCUCAGGCAAUGCAGUAAUGCCAUCUAGUCAGUGACCUGCUAUACUUAAUAAGUAUAGCCAUCUUACUGGAAACACAUUGCAUAUGUUUAACCUGAAAAUAAUAAGAAAUAUUUUAUUGUAUUAGUAAAUUAAAAACAUUCAUUCAUUGCACCUUUGAAAUUGAGAGUACAUUUCUUUUUGCUAUGAGUGUGUAGGGUUUUUUCCCUGUUUGGUUCAUUUCUGUUUCUUCAGCGAGUGUAAUUUGGAAGAGGAAGAUAAAUAUAUGACUGAUGCAUUAAAAUCAAUCAAGAUAGCAAAUUUAAUAUAAAAAAUUCUUCAGAUAUUCUGGAAAAAAGUCUAAGUAAUGGGAAAAUGCAGUGUGAUGGUUAGUACUCAUUUGCUAUAUUACAGUCAGAAAUGCUCUGUAGCUUAAUUUUCCUUGUGAUUACAAAUGGCUCUUAACUUCACUGUCAAGUCCAAACUAUACCACAGCCUUUGAGAUAACCAGGUUAUCUUGCACAUGCAGCUUAGAACACAUGUGGCAGAAGGGUAGAUGACACACAUAAGCCCAGCACCAUGAAUAAAUAUCAUUCACAUAGCACAGAACAUACUUGUAGUAUUGCGCUAAUGUAGGGUAAGGAAAAAAUUCAAAAAAGUCUAGCAUAACCAUUUAAAGUCUUUUUAUUGUAAGCCACAGGAUUAAUUUAUUAGGUGUGGGCUCCUAAUCCCUGUUCCAAGUUGAGGCUUUUCAAGAGUAGGCAUGCGGGAACACAUAGUGCCUGGUAAUCUCCCAGUCACAAAGGACACAAGACAGAGGGGAAGCUGCCAGAAACCUUCGUUUUGUGGAAGGCUGUGGUGGUAAGAAGGAUGAAAACCUUCAGGAGUUGUAUCCAUAAUCAACUGCUGAUGGUCUGAGCUGAGGAACAGGGACUCCAAGGGUGCCAUCUUGCCCAGUUAGAGGCAUGAACUGGAAGAGAGGAGCUAGGAAACCUUCAGCAGAGCAGUCUGGUCCCUCAGACAGGACAGGUCCCUUGGGCCACCCCUGCACUGCUAAACCAAGCAAGACCAGAGAGGCUUCUCAGCGCUUUGGCCUCCAGGUACACACUGCCAUGUCCACCCUAUGCAGCCCUUGGCCCAGAUGCACUGUAGCAUCCCCAUGACCCUGCCACAGGGCUGGUUUGCAUUGGUGAGGUGGAAGUGAUGCUGUUGCAGUGGUGUGAAGCUGAAGAUAUGCCUUGGGUUCCCCAGCCCAUGGUGUGGGGCAGGCGGGGAUGCCUGGGGGUGCACAGUCUGCUGGGACAGUGGUGAGGGCGAUGUUGGGUGGGGCAGGGCUGGGGGACAUUGGGAGAAUUAAAUACUAUGGGGGAUCUCCAGCCUGGUACCUUGGCCCUCUUAUUUACCAGGGGAGACACUCUAAACCAAAGUGACUGCCUCGGAUAAAGGUUUAGCCUGACCCUUUUUUAGCUGUCACACUGUGUUCAUGGAAAACCUGCUGUUGAAGAGGACUGCUUUGUAAAAUUGCAUCAAAGAGGGAUUUUUGCUGUUUGUCAUUGGAUUGUGUUUCAGUGCUAAAUCACAUCAAGCCCAGAAAGAUGUCAGGAAAAAAUGGAAAACCUGUCGCUGCUGUCAUCCCGAGUUUUGUUUACAUUUCUUUACAUUAAAGCUCUGAUGUCUGUAGGAGUUUUGAGGUUGAUCUUGUUCUUGCCUCUACUAAGUUUGAAGAAUAUAUUGUUAGGUAGUAAAUCAGGUCUCAGUGUUGCCUGUAUUAUGUUUACGUAUUGUAAAAUCAUGUGGUCUAAGUGAUGCUCCUAGGAAAGCAUAUCAGCACUUAAAGCCAUAAGUUUAUAAUUUUCAGUCAUCCUGCAUUUAGUUAUUAUUUGCAAAUGUUAACGUUAUGUAUCACAAAAUGUUAAAAAACCACAAAGCUUUGAAAGUCAAGCAGUAAAACUUAAUUAUAUUGGUUUGGUGGGUUUGUUUUUUUUUGGUUUGGUUUGGUGGGUUUGUUUUUUUUGGUUUGUUUUUUUGACUUUUUUUUUGGUUGGUUGUUUUUUUCCUGUCUUUAAUCUGUGCAAUAUUAACAAGCUUCCUUUGGGUUUGUGCAUUAUGAUCAGUCUUUAAUUAAGAGAACACAUAUUGGUUUUUUGUCCUUGCUGACAGGCUUCUUCUACUGAAAUUUUUAGUCAGACACCUGACAUGGAAACAUGCUUUGUAUAGAUGGCCCAUUAAUGAACUCAGUAUUUGAUUUUAUCCUUGUGUUCACUGAGCAUCCAAUGCCUUAUUCAUUUCACAUUGUGCAAACCUGAUGCAAUGCAGAAUUAUUUGUUUCCUUAUGACCAUUUCUUUCAUGUUCAUCAUUAGUGUACCCAGCUGUUUUGCAAGCAGUAAUGAACUUAUUGCCAUACUCCUUUGCUGCAAUGAAGAGUGUUAUUAGUUCCAUUUUUCAGAUAAUAAGCUGAAGCCUAUAAAUAAUAACUUUACAAAUUCUGGAAAUUGAGUAAGAAAACAAUAGACAGCUGUUCCUCAGACUUCAUUUGUUCGCAGUACAGCCUUCCCUGAUGUCAGAAGCGGGUGUGAGAGCCCAGUGCUCCUGCAGGGCAGAUGCAGCCUCCUGCUCCAGGUGAGCACACAGCUAAGGGGCCACCCAUGGCUAUGGAGGGAUGGCUUUCGGUGAACGGUUUUGUGAGGUUAGCUGGGUAAAAGGGCUUGAAAGGAGACCGAUACCUUUCCCUUUGCCACCGCGGGGAGCGAUCCCAUCUAUGCAGCCACCUUGUGUUAUCUCCACCUUGGUUUCGUGUCUGGCUCCUGGACCAGCGCACCUGGGAAUUGCAGGGAAAGUCUUGUCUUAGCCUCCUUUAUCCUUUGGUCAGAAAUAAAAUAGGCUUAGCAUGGACAGAAUCCUGGGAAGUGCUAUUUAUCAGCUGCUACUAAACAUAUGCAAUCAGAUUUUUUCUCAAUUAUUUAUAACUUGGCUGUGUUUGAGCAUUAUACCCCUCCGCAGACAGAGAUGCACAACAAAAGGCUCAUCCAUCACACAAAGACUAUUCAAUGCCAAAUUUCACUUCCUUGCCUCAAGUCAUCAUACUGCCAGAAAUUAUUGACAAAACUGUUGUAGUAAUCACUGGUAAAUAGUACAAUUGGCAAAUAAUGUAUUUUCUGCUGACUUUAUUAUUGGAAACAACUGGACAAUUUAUGCUGACACUCUUUUGGAAAACAGACAUGGGAAAUUUCAGCCCCAACAGCUAAAUUCUGGAAGAGCUUUGAAUGACUGAAAUGAAGGGUUUCUAAUAGGAAGAGUUUGACAGCAUUAACUGCAAAGAGCCUUAGCCAUUUAUUCUGCAGUUGCUUUUCUCAUCUUGUGAGUUGCAAAUCACCUCUACCUCUGCUCCUCCCCAGAGUCACAGUCCCUGGUAAGACACACUAUAUGAGACAUGGAGGUAGAGAGGUUGAGUAUCUUUAGACCAGAGUAUUUGUAUGAAGACUGCACUGCUCAAAGCAUAUAUGGAAGUAUAUGAGGAUAAAAUAAAAAAGUAGGAAUUAGUUUUAUGUACAAGGUACACAAUGCAUGUAAUGAUUUUUUUUUCACUUGAUUCAUCUCUCUGGAAUGAGUAGCACUAGUGCUAUCUGUUAUUCACAUAGAUGGUAACUUCCAGUUGUAGAAUCGGUGCAAGGUAUUUACAGUAACAGUUUUGGUUUUAGUUAUAUGAAUUUGAUGUGAGAAAGAUGCAGACUGUAAUAUAAUAUUAACAUGAGUCCUGUCCACAGAUUAAAAAAUCCAUAUGUACUCAUUAGGGUAAGUAAGUGAUAGAGACAGUACAGGGGGAGUGUUGUGUGAUUAUGGUACAAAUGCUGUUUCUUUGUGUUUGCUCAAGAAAUCCCAAGUGCAGCAAUAACAUAACUUAUAAAAUAAGCUUAUAAUUCUGGUAGCAUGUACUUAAAAAAAAAAGCUAAAGGGCCUUGUCUUUGAAGCAUUUCUUCAGCUUCAGGUAAAGACAAGACUUUGUACGAUCUGUGCAGGAACUCUUGCAUGGGGUUAAAAUGUGCGUAUUUUUACAUCUUUGGGAAUUGUCAGUCAUUUUGUACCUGUUUAUUUCACAGUCAGAUUCCAAUUACAGCCUGCUGCUACGAAACCUGUCCAUAAAAGCUGGAAAAUACAGCGUGGAAGACAUUAUUAUAUGCUGAGGUAUCAUUAGAAUAGUUGGUGUGUGUAUUUGGGAGCGGGUGAAGAAGACCAGCAGCGAGGAGGUCUUUCUUAUUUCACUUGCUACAUAUGACCUGGUGAAUUUCUUGUGAGUGGGAAGAUCAUGCCAGCACAUUGCAGAAAACAGGUUUUUACCAUAAGCACAUUCAUUCACCGACUGCACGUGUCAGGAGGAAAUAAAAGAGAUUGUUAUGAUCGAUAAUACAGAAUUGAUUGGACAUGACAAAGCUAUAAGAGUCAAGGACCCAAAGCGUGUUUUACCAAUGUGAUGGUAAAAUUAUUAAUAUUUAAGACUUGAAAGGUCUGACUAAGAAGUUUAUCCUAACUAAAAUAACAGCCUUUUUGACUAUGAGCUAGCAGUCUGUGUUUUUUUCCCCCUCCCCACUGCUGACUGAAGGCAAUACAGGGUGGGCCUCAUAAUACGGGCUCCACCAUGAGCCAUCCCUCCACAUCCUCACCUUAUUUACUGGGUGAGUCUUUCUUAGAGCUGUGGCAGCUACCAAGCUACUGAAGGAGUCCGUCCCUGCUGGAGACCUGGCUUUGUUAACAUCAAAAGUAUUGAUUUUCCUCACUUUUUUUUUUCUUUUUUUUCUGACACAGUCUAUAGGCUGUGUCUCUGCAAUCACUUGGCAGAGCACGGGGGAACAGAGAGGGUGAUGCUGUCCAAAUGUUUUCUCUUUGUGAUCAUGGUUAAUAAAGCUCCCGUCUGACCUGU